CGCGGAGAGACAGACAGAUGGAGGAGAAGCAUGCAGCAGAGAGGAGGAGAAACAAAGCAUGUUGACUGAGGAAGUGUGCACGCCAUGCGGGCCAUGUGCUCAGAUCCAGGAGCGCUGCACUCGAGGAAGGUGUCUGCAAAUCGGGCUGUUUCUCUUCUGCAACUUAACUCCCAGCUGCUGUACAAGACCAGAGAAUACAGUCUGAACUCUUCAUGAUGCACAUCACUGAAAAAGCGGCAAAGACUGGCAAUCGAGAGCUCCCAUCCUGCUGGUAAGAAUCACCAUUAACUAUGAUUUUAUCUGAUGCAGAAAUAGUGUGAACUCAGUUUAUCAAAUGGAGAAGAUAACCCUGGCAGCAGAUACCAGACUCGUAUUGUCAAAUCGAGGUUUUUGUAAAUUUGAGAUAUUGAGCUAUUUGUUAAUGCACUUUUGCACUAGGAGACAUGAGUUUUAGAUCAAGAUUGUACCAGGGUCUCGUCUCUUAAAAUACUACACUUCCCCAGUGCAUCUACUACAUCUAGAAACCAUUCAUCCUACUCAUCUGUGUCCUUUCAUUAGAUCAAAAUCCUCCCCUGUAUCUGUGAUUUUAAAAUAACCGCAACCUACAGUGGUCAGCCGUUUUAGAAGCUCUUUACUUACAGUAGCCAACAGGACAUGUGUAUAUAAAACAUUUUAGUGUACUUAAUGUACACCAAAAAAAAAAAAUCUGGCAGCAUGAUUCACACACAAAAGCACACAUACAGCAUGUACAGCCCACACACUCCCACGUGUUUCUCCUGCCUCUGCUCCCGUCAGAUGUACGGCACAUGACAUCAUUAAAGAGGUGGUCUAAAAAUCAGUGUGGGUACCGCAUGUGGGUAGGCAGUGUGUGUGUUUGUGUGUGUGUGUGUGUUUUUGUUUCUGUGUGGGUGAGGGGAAUGAAAGCCAAAGCUCCAGAGCCGUGGGCCCAAGCUGGCUGCGUGUGUGUGCCCAGCCGGAGGCUCUGGUCCUGGGCUGCGCUGCCUCCCACGCUGGGGUACGGCUGGGGCUGAGUGGGAGGGAGGAGUGGGAGGGAAAAGUGGGCUGGGGCUGUGAGUCAGCCCGCUGCGGAGCCCCCAGACAAGAGACCGCUAAGGGAAGCAACUCACUGCUAGAGUUCUCUCCCUGCCAGCAAUCGAAGAAACAUUAAAAUUUAUUAUGAGGAGUGUACUAGCGCUGGUGAAGCAGUGACAGAAGAAGAAGCAACUGCUGAUAUUGCAGAUAGGAGAGACAGUGAUGGAAACAGUCUCAGAAAGUGUCAAGAUUCUGGAGAAAAACACACUUGCAGAAAAGCUGAUGGGUUCUGAGAUUUCAGCUCCUUGGUUAUGACGUAGGCCUACAGUAGAUGGCAGAGAUGGCAGGAUGUGCAUCUUUGUUUUGUAUUUUAGCAAAUGCAAGUUUCUAAUUAUUUAAACGUCAAUGUUGUUAGUAUAAGACUCGCUGUAGGCAGCUCUGCCACUUCCCAGAUCUUUCCUGUAUAUUUUAGGCUUAAAUCUUUGUCAUGUAACUACAGCAAGACUCUGCAUAGCACAGUCCCUGCCCGAUGUCUCAUUUUCUGGCACUUCUGAGACAGAUGGCAGUUUCAGACCCAGCCCCAUCUGCUAGAACCGCUUGCUCGUUCUCACUCUGUCUGCUUCUCUGAAAGAAGAAGCUGAGAAAACAGAACCCCCAUACUGCACGUCCAUUUAAUCUUCCGUAAAUGACAUGCUCACAUUCCACACUUGUGCAUGCACAUACAUAUGCAUAGUCCAUUAGUCAUAAGUGAUAGGGAGCAUUCGUCAUUGGUGAAUUAGCCGGGUUAGUAAACAUGUUUCUGGCCUUGAGCUUACACAAUAGUGGCUUUCAUCAAAGUGUAGGUGAAUUUAAUACUUAAUUAAAUGACUCAAAUAGCUGCAAAAUAAUAAUCUCUAUUUCUCUGUUAAGCGAGCUCACUAUGAGGUGUGACCUGACCUGGACACGCUCUGCAGAAGGACACAGUCACAACACGUGACUAUUACAGUGUGCAGUGGUGUGCAGAGACUUUGUGAGCUUUUGUAAGCUGGAAUCAGUAUCGACUGAAGCUCCUGACAGCUAAUAUUUGGUGCAGAUCUCUUCUGUAUUGUAUUGUAAUGUGGCCAUUUUCAUGCAUAACAGUCCUUUAAGAUUAUAAUGUUUGAAGACCCUGGAAACAGCAUUUAUACAAGGGAUACAACUAACCAUUAUUUUCAUUAUCGAUUAAUCUGAUUGAUCAUAAAGUCUAUAAAAUGAAACAAAUCCCUAGAGUCCAAGGUGACACCUUCAAUUUAUUUAGUCUAAAUAACAGUCCAAACCCCCAACUAUUCAGUCUAUUAACAAAUAAAAGAAAAACAGCAAAUCCUCACAAUUAAGAUGCUGAAACAGGUUGUUCUUGAAUAUUGACUUAAAUGGUUUAUCAUUUAUCUUCUUAUCAUAAUCGAUAAUCUAAAAAUAUUAGCUCCAGUUUAGACCACAGUGGGACGACACAAGUGUUAUUUAAAACACAUCUUAAGAAAAAAAAUAGCUGGGUUUAAAGCCACUUAAGAUAGGUUAAAGUAGGUGUUAUCGCUGGCUUUAGAUUCUGCCUCCUUCAGAAUUAUCAUCAUGUUUCCAGAAGCUUUUAUUUAUGUUGCCGUCAGCCUUGUUUUGAACACAAAUCUACUUUUUCUUUCCUUACACCUGUUUUUUCAUGAAACACCUUAAGAGCUACAGAACAGCUGUUCAUAAAUGCCUUUUUAAUACACUUCCUUAGAGUCAGUUACAAGCAUCUAUAUAUUUAAGUAGGCUUUAGCUUGAGACCCCUAAUCAAUACACAGGCCUAUAGUCAUUUCAGUUACAUUUCAGCAGAUUUCCAUCCUCAGAGUUGGAGGUCAGGCCCAGGCCCACAAUGGCCCAAUGAGCUCAGCAGCAGCACUAUUACUGGGCUGGGCCGGUCGCUCUGAUAAUGGAAGGUGGUUCUCCAGGAAACCCAGAGGGAGUCCACCAGUCUGGGGCGUGGGGGCUGGAGCCAGGGGACCGGCCCAGGGGUGUGGAGCAGCAGUAGAUGGGGUGGUGGGAAACGCUGGAGGAUAACAUUGGCAUGUGGAGGCGAGGCAGAGGUGGGACAGGUCGAAAAGGAUGACAGGCGAGGAGUGGGAGGCAAGGACAGGGAAGUGAGAACAGGAAACACUGGUCAGAGUGGUGGGGGAGAGUGGAAUGUUUCACAAGAAGUCUUCUCCACCCUGUAGCAUCACGAUGAGGGCGUCUGCUUGUUGAUGUUGCUGCUCGGACAGCCACCAGCCAGCGGAGGAACUGUCACAGUUGUGACCCCUCACCGCCUUGGCAGGGCUCACAGCUCUUAUAUCCUGUGAGUGGGCCUGCCAGCAGCAGAGUCACUGCCUUCACAUAAGCCCAUGUUGUGUGGUUGUGGAAGAGAGAGAGAGAGAGAGAGAGAGAGAGAGUCUCAUACUGUAGCUGUUUUUCCUCUGACACCUCUGAAGGGAAGAGGAAGAGGAAAGAGGGAGAGGGACUCGCAGGGCAGGGAUGACGGGGUGGAGUGCGACACCGGUGGGUUCCUUUAAAGGAGUCACAAUGCUGUCGUGCAAAAACAGAAUACACACACCCACACAUUGGUAAUGCAUCUUUACAUUAACAGCAUUAUACAUUGCUCUCAUGAAGUAUUGUGUUUUUAGAGCAAUACAGUACAUACAGUUGUAUACAGUAAAAUGCAUGCAAAAUUUGUCAUCUGCAUUUAACCCAUCCUAAUUAGGAGCAGUGCCCUGACAUUGCGCAGCACCCGAGGAGCAGUUUACUAAACUUACUAAAAUUAAGGGAUAAUUCUGAUUUGUGGUGGAAAUAAACUAAGAACAUUUACCUAAACACUGUUUAGUUUUAAGGUACUUACACUGUAUUUAAGAGGAAAAUAUUGUACGUUUUACUCCAGUACACUUUUGCGUGGUUUCUAGUUACAUCCAAAACAUAUGAUAAGCUUAUAAAAUACGCUGAAUUGGUAUAAAUUAAACUAUCCAACAACAAACAAAGGACUGACAAUUACAACAUUAACAGAAAGUCUAUAACAUUUUAUUAUGAUGAUUUAAAAAAAACAGCCAUUUAAGUUAAGGUUUGGAAAAAACACCAGUUGAUUAUUAAAGUUUAAUACUCAAAAAAGCACAACUAAUCUACUUCAUCAGGACUGUGUGGGUGAGGGGAGGAUCAGAUGUGAUUGACAGUGGCACUUCCGCCUCUGAAAAAAUGCAAAUGACCCUUUUAACUGUCAUCACAUUUUGAUUCUGCUGAAUCCUGAUUGGUGCUUGUACAUAAGUAACAUGACCGAAAAUACACAGAUAUGUCUCAAUUUAAAUAAUCAAAAUUAUGCAAAUGUAUUAACUUUUUUUUAAUGUUACAUAAUGGAGGACACUCUCACUUACAGUAAAAGAAAUUUGUUUUCGAGGCCUUUAACUUGUUAGAUUAAGUUAAAUUAAAUAUAAUUCACCUUGAUGAACGGGACCAAUCUGCUACAUGUGUUCUUUUUGUUAUGCAAAGUACAUUUUGGAUGUAAAUACUUCUUCCACCACUUAGUUAAUGUUAAUGUAAUGUUAAGAUUGUACUCAUCGCGCUGAUUGAAUCCACCAAAAGGACAAGAAACACAAGUGAUAGGUUGCAAACAAACUUUGGUGAACCCAAUGUUAUCACAACUGAUAGAAAUGAUGAUGUUCUGAAAAUAAAACCUGAGGUUUUUUUAACAGGAAUUAUCCUUUAAUACUUCCGCUGUUCCUAAUACUACAGUUAUUACUUUAUAUAGCCUAACCUAAUACUUAACCAUUGCAUCACAAUAGAAGUAUUCGUGUGUGAUGUAAUUAGAGACACUUUCACAAGUAAUGGAAAACUCAAGCACCACCGUAAUGCAUCACACCUCAAGCUGCUCUGGAUGUUUCUGCAGGCUUGGAGGUGCUUGUCUGUCACCAGAGCGGCUGAGGUAUCCCUGUGUGUGAGACUAAAAGUCCAGGGUUAUCACCGGACAAUAAGCACACACACGUAGAAACAGAAGGGUGCACACACGUUACCAAAGAGCAGAGGGGAGCAAUGUAGAACAAGCACACAGUUGCGGGAGAUAAGACGCAGAGUCAUGCCUCCACAGCGUGACUAUGACAUCACAGUUGUAUCUGUUAGCUCACUGUCUCCCCAUGCUAGAAACAGACUGGCCUAAUAUAGUCAGUGUCGACCAUGCCACACACACUUCCGCCCAGGGCCAGGGGCACGAGAGUCUGCCUGCCAUAUUUCCAUCUCAUGUCCUUGGGUGGGUUGAAAGCACAUGUUCCUUCUGAGGUGUGUGUGUGU